GCGCGAAAACUCCCCAAUGCCCGAAAGGGUGAGGGGGUCACCUCGAGUGCCACUCUCGUGGUGGCUUUUGCGGGGUCUAAAAAGCCCCGCGAAUAAGGGGAGGGCAAGACGGGUGUCAGCCGCCGCGGUAAUACCCGCUCCCCGAGUGGUGGGGACUAUUACUGGGCUUAAAGCACCCGUAGCCAGCCAGAUGUGUCUCUCGUUAAAUCCACGGGCCUAACCCGUGGGCUGCGGGAGAUACUAUCUGGCUUGGGGAUGGGAGAGGGCGGCGGUAUUCCCAGGGUAGGGGUAAAAUCCACUGAUCCUGGGAGGACCACCAGUGGCGAAGGCGGCCGCCCAGAACAUGCCCGACGGUGAGGGGUGAAAGCUGGGGGAGCAAACGGG
rnacentral:rRNA from 1 species